UCAGAGCGUGGCUUAAAAUAGAAUAGCAUCUCCCUUACACCGAGAAGGUCCCCGUGCAAGUCGGGUCGCACU
rnacentral:tRNA from 1 species